rnacentral:rRNA from 1 species
CCUACGGGUGGCUGCAGUGGGGAAUAUUGGACAAUGGGGGGAACCCUGAUCCAGCCAUGCCGCGUGUGUGAAGAAGGCCCUCGGGUUGUAAAGCACUUUCAGUGAGGAAGAACGCCUGGUGGUUAAUACCCAUCAGGAAAGACAUCACUCACAGAAGAAGCACCGGCUAACUCCGUGCCAGCAGCCGCGGUAAUACGGAGGGUGCGAGCGUUAAUCGGAAUUACUGGGCGUAAAGCGCGCGUAGGUGGCUUGAUAAGCCGGUUGUGAAAGCCCCGGGCUCAACCUGGGAACGGCAUCCGGAACUGUCAAGCUAGAGUGCAGGAGAGGAAGGUAGAAUUCCCGGUGUAGCGGUGAAAUGCGUAGAGAUCGGGAGGAAUACCAGUGGCGAAGGCGGCCUUCUGGACUGACACUGACACUGAGGUGCGAAAGCGUGGGUAGCAAACAGGAUUAGAUACCCUUGUAGUU